GACGACCGCUGGCGGCGUGCUUAACACAUGCAAGUCGAACGGAAAGGCCCUGCUUUUGUGGGGUGCUCGAGUGGCGAACGGGUGAGUAACACGUGAGUAACCUGCCCUUGACUUUGGGAUAACUUCAGGAAACUGGGGCUAAUACCGGAUAGGAGCUCCUGCUGCAUGGUGUGGGUUGGAAAGUUUCGGCGGUUGGGGAUGGACUCGCGGCUUAUCAGCUCGUUGGUUGGGUAGUGGCUUACCAAGGCUCUGACGGGUAGCCGGCAUGAGAGGGUGACCGGCCACAAUGGGACUGAGAUACGGCCCAGACUCCUACGGGAGGCAGCAGUGGGGAAUAUUGCACAAUGGGCGGAAGCCUGAUGCAGCAACGCCGCGUGCGGGAUGACGGCCUUCGGGUUGUAAACCGCUUUCGCCUGUGACGAAGAGUGAGUGACGGUAAUGGGUAAAGAAGCACCGGCUAACUACGUG
rnacentral:rRNA from 1 species